CCGGCUCGGCGGCGGAGGGUGGGCCGCCGUCACCUGACCGCCCGCCCCCGCCCCCCGCGAGUAAGGGGCGGUGGUAGCGUCUGCUCGGUUACAAAUGGCCCCUCCCGCCCCGCUCGCCCGCUCGCUCGGGCUCGGCGCGGACCCGCCCGGGCGCACUCCUCCCAGUGGCUCUCGGCGUCCCGGCGUCCCGCCGCCCUGCCCGGAGCCGGCCGCGGUCCCCUCUACCCCUGAGGGCACUCCCGGCAUCCAGCACAGAGGCUCGCCCGGGGAGGUCGCGACGGGAGGCUGGCCCGCGGUGGCCCGCGGCUCGCCUACCCGCAGGUGUUCCUUUGAUACAGUGGAUGGUGACUCUGCUGUUCUGCCUGGGAGUGGUUCAAAAUGCUGACCACACUCCUGCUCCUGUUCCUGACCCAAGGAAGCCCCCAUGCAGAGCACCCUGUCCUCUCUGAAUGGGACCAGCAGCUGGAUGCUGAGUACCAAUAGCAUCUGCCCUGAUUUCCUUUGAGGAUGGAGAGCAGAGCCAAGCUGCAGGGCCUGCUGUUCCAGCUGCUGUGCAGCCCUGGGCUGCCAGGGCACUCCGUGAUGGCCUUUGUCCUUAGCAUCACCAUCUCCUAAGACACAUAGAAGAGUGGGACAGUAACAGAAGGACACAAAAGAUACCGAAUCCGAGGAAGGCCCUGAAGGUCCAGUAACUUGCCUAGGGACACAGGUGAAUCUUAGGAAGAGCCCUGGAGGGCAGCUGCCAGCCGAAGGGCAGGGCGGGGCGCUGUUUUCGCCAUGACCACCUGAUCUCUUCUCGGCUCUUCUUGGUGUGCACGACUGCUCGACUCGUCCGCGUUAACUCUCAUGAUGUGUUUGGGAUGCGCUCCCCCUCUUUGUAGGACUGAGUCAGGGAGAUGUUCUCCCUCCUCGGAGGAUUCCAUUCUGAGCCCAGUCACCUUAGUAGAUGCGGGAGCUACUCCACGUGGCCUUUGAGGUCUGGGACCCUGGGCAAAUUGAGGGAGGGGGUCUUGGCAGAGUAAUCACUCAGAACUCAAGGUAAGAACCGUCCAUCUCUGGUUUUUGUGUUUGGCAGUAGAGGCAUGGGAACCCCUGCAUUCCUCGCAUGUGAGUAUCAGGACUUGAGGAAAAAUCUGUACUCAGAACUUGGUUGCCAGUGGGGAGGGGGGAGGGGGAGGUAGAGGUAGGGGAUUAAGAGGUACAAACUGUUGGGUAUAAAAUGAGCUACAAGAGGCGUUCCCUUCGUGGCUCAGCAGUUAACGAACAUGACUAGGAUCCAUGAGGAUGCGGGUUCGAUCCCUGGCCUCGCUCAGUGGGUUAAGGAUCUGGCUUAGGUGUAGAUCACAGAUGCAGCUCCAAUCCCGUGCUGCUGUGGCUGUGGUGUCAGCUGGCAGCUCUAGCUCUGAUUCUACCCCUAGCCUGGGAACUUCCAUAUGCCGUGGAUGUGGCCCUAAAAAGACAAAAAUAAGCUAGAAGGAUAUAUUGUACAAUAUGGGGAAUAUGGCACAUAUUUUAUAUAUAUUUCAAAAUUGCAAAUCACUAUAUUGCACACCUCUCGGAGUUCCCACUGUGGUGCAAUGGGAUCGGUGGUGUCCCGGAGCACCAGGACACAGGUUUGAUCCCCAGCCCAGCACAGUGGGUUAAGGAUCCAGCACUACCGCAACUGUGGCACAAAUUCAAUCCCUGGCCUGGGAACUCCAUACAUGGGGUGGCCAAAAAAGAAAACAAAAUAAAAACCUAUACUUAUAAAAAGGAAAAGAAAAA
rnacentral:lncRNA from 9 species